rnacentral:lncRNA from 1 species
UUCUUUACAAUUUUUUCUUUACAAUUUUUAUUUACAAUUAUUCUUAUUCUUAUUAUUAUUAUUUCUUCUUCUUCACCACCACCACCGUUCUUCUUCUUCUUCUUAACUGUCUAUGUAGACUCGUUAAUCUUCCCUCAUUUCUGCGUUCCCCCGCUACCGUUCCCAUCCACCGCCACCACCUCCGACACCACCUCCUCUGUUGCUAACGCCAGAUCUGGUCAGAUCCGAACCACCAUGGAAUCCGGCGAAAAAGAGAGAAUAUCAACAAACCAAACCAAAAUAAUUCGAAAUCAAAUCAACCCAGAUUCGUAGUCCAAAUUGUUGGCGAAAUACAAUCAACUUCAUCAUCUUCUUUAUCACAACCCAGAUCUAGAUCUGAACGAAUGAUGAAAGGAUUUUAGAAGAAUAGUUUGAAAAACGGAUGAGGGAGUCCUUGAAAUUAUCAACUGGAGCAAAAAUUAGAGUUUUGAUAAUUUGCUGUGAGAUCAGAUUUGCUCUGUAAAAAGGGAAAACAAAUGAUUGUUUUUUUGGGUGUUUUAUUUAUCAAUUUUUUUCUUUUUGUUAUAGCUAUGAUGAGUAUAAUGAGUAUAUCUGUGAUGAAAUCUGAUUUUUCUCUAAUUUUUCUUUGAUUUUGAUGAGGAGGACGAGAAUGGAAUUGGGGAUUUGGGGAUUUGAACGAGAAAUUUGGUAUUUGGGAGAAUUGAAUGAGGAGAUAUUUUGAUUAUUUGUAUUAUUUAGAAGAAAGGAAAAGAGAUAAAUGAAAAGAAAAAAUUAUAAAAGUAUUUUUAUUUUUAUUUUUAAAAUAAAA